AUGAUUCAUAGUAUGUUUCAUACAUGUGCUUCUUCGCUGCAUAGAGUUUGUGGCAUUUCAAGCAUGCUGGAGGACGUCAGGCGCGCAAGGUCUCCACGGCCUUUCUCUGCAACCACAGUCCAUCUUCCUCAUCAUGGUGCCCCAUCGACGACCAUCCAUGGUACCCUUCACCAGCGGCAAAGAGCACUCCGUGGGGAGCCCAUACUGCAUGUGCCUCCUCAAUGUCAUCUUCGCUGCUCGUGGCCGCCAUUUCCACGUCGCAGCCACCUACACGACAGCCCCUAUGUUUUAUCGCGGUCCGUCUGGAGUAUCCCUUGCGCAUGUGCCGUCGCCAUCAAGGUGGACCAUGGUGGCAGUGUGGCGACAUGA
rnacentral:rRNA from 1 species